CGGGACGGGGUGAGUAAUGUCUGGGAAACUGCCUGAUGGAGGGGGGUAACUACUGGAAACGGUAGCUAAUACCGCAUAACGUCGCAAGACCAAAGAGGGGGACCGUUCGGGCCUCUUGCCAUCGGAUGUGCCCAGAUGGGAUUAGCUAGUAGGUGGGGUAACGGCUCACCUAGGCGACGAUCCCUAGCUGGUCUGAGAGGAUGGCCAGCCACACUGGAACUGAGACACGGUCCAG
rnacentral:rRNA from 1 species